AUGGAUGAUUUUGUUGCUGUUGUUGAGAAAGAAGAAGCACGAGCAAAGAAGAAAGCUGUUCAGCCCCUUUCAAUAGAGAGAAAUGUGAAGGUUAACAAAAGGGAUGCAACAAAAAAGCAACAAGAAGAAUGGGAGUAUGGCACACCUGAAGACCUUAAGCCCAAGAAGAACCAACUAGCCCGAAGGAACAUGUCCAAAAAUCACAACAUAGUUAUUGACAAAGUCCAAUGCACAAAGCCGACAUGGACAACUCUAGAGAAGGACAUCAUCAAGGAACAUGUGGAGAUGGUCAAGUCCAUGAUGUCUUCUAUGGAGGAUGGAGAGAUCAGCAUAUCAGCUUACGACACCGCAUGGGUUGCUUUGGUCGAAGGCGUCAAUGGAACUGGUUCACCUCAGUUCCCUUCCAGCCUCGAAUGGAUUGCCAACAACCAGCUUGAAGAUGGCUCUUGGGGCUACAAGGACCUCUUCUCUGCUCACGAUCGACUCAUUAACACUCUCGCGUGUGUCGUUGCGUUAAAGUCAUGGAAUAUCCACGCCGAAAAAUGCUUCAAAGGAAUGAAAUUUUUCAAGGAAAACCUACACAAGAUUGAAGACGAGAACAUGGAGCACAUACUUGUAGGGUUUGAAGUUACAUUCCCUUCUCUCCUCGAAAUAGCUCGAAUCUUAAAUCUUGAAGUACCUGAUGAUGACACACCUGUGUUGCGUGAGAUUCGUGCCCGUAAAAAUCUGAAACUCUCAAAGAUACCAUGGGACACACUGCACAAUGUGGCCACGUCACUACUUCAUAGCCUAGAGGGAAUGGCAGGUCUCGAUUGGAAAAAGCUUUUGAAACUCCAGUCAGAAGACGGGUCGUUUUUGUUUCUCCGGCAUCUACUGCCUACGCAUUGAAGCAGACGAAGGAUCGAAACUGUAUGUCGUAUUUAUCGAGAAUUGUCCUGAAGUUCAACAGAGGAGCGCCUCAUGCGUAUCCCAUCGAUUUGUUCGAACGUAUGUGGGUUGUAGAUCGGUUGCAGAGGUUAGGAUUGUCCAGAUACUUGGAGCCGGAGAUUAAGGAGUGUAUAUGCUACGUAUCAAGGUAUUGGACAGAGAAAGGAAUUUCUUGGGAGAGAAACUCGGAGGUUCCUGAUCUUGAUGACACAUCAAUGGGUUUUAGAUUGCUCCGGUUGCAUGGGCACAAGGUGUCGGCCGAUGUAUUUGAGCAUUUUAAGAAAGGGAGUGAGUUCUUCUGCCAUCCUGGAGAAUUGAACAACGCUGUAACUGUAAUACACAACUUGUAUAGGGCAAGUCAGGUGGCAUUUCGAGGAGAGAAGAUCCUUGGGGAUGCGAAAGAGUUUGCGACUAAGUUCCUUAGAGAGAAACAGGCUGCCAAUGAGUUUUCAGACAAAUGGAUCAUUACCAAAGACUUACCUGGAGAGGUGGUUUACGCAUUGGAUUUUCCAUGGUAUGCGAGCUUACCCCGACUGGAGACUAGAUUCUACAUUGACAGUAUGGCGGCGAAGAUGACGUUUGGAUUGCCAAGACUCUCUACAGCAUGCCCAACAUUAGCAAUAAUGUGUAUCUGGAGCUGGCAAGGCUUGACUACAACGAUUGCCAAGCACUGCAUCUCAAGGAAUGGGACAACAUUCAAAAGUGGUACAGAGACUGGGAACUAGGAGACUAUGGAUUGAGUGAAAAGACUCUCCUCACAAAUUAUUUUGUUGCAGCAGCGAGCAUUUUUGAACCUGAAAGAGCUAAUGAGCGACUUGCCUGGGCUAAAACCGCAUGCCUGGUUGAUACAAUUGUGCGUUCAUGUCUAAGUGACGGAGAUAAGAAGGCUUUUGUUGAUGAGUUCAAAUUCUUCUCCAAUAUGCAAGACCAUGGGACUACAAGGUUGUACAAAAACAAGAUCGCAGGGCAAGGAAUUGUUGGAGCUUUAUUGGCAACCCUAAGCCAACUCUCAUCGGUUACAAUGGUGCUACAUCGCCAAAACAUUAUCGAAUCUCUAUGUCAAGCUUGGACAAAAUGGCUACUGAAGUGGCAAGAAACUGGGGAGACGUACAAAGAUGAGGCUGAGCUACUGGUGGAAAUGAUAAAUCAAACUGCUGGCCUUAGCCAAGAUUUGAUGUCCAAUAAUUCAGAAUAUGAGCAGCUUUUCGGCCUAACCAACAAAAUUUGCAAUCAACUUCGUUCGUACCGAGACCAAAAGAACAAGGUAAAUCAUAACGGCAACUGCAUGACGAAAAUCAAUAUGACAACCCCAGAAAUAGAAUCAUAUAUGCAACAGUUGGUGGAAUUGGUACUAGAAAAAGCUCCGGAUGACACAGGAUCCUUGAUUAAGCAAGGCUUUUUCACCGUAGCGAGGAGUUUUUACUAUUCUACCUAUUGUGACUCUCAAGUCAUUAGCCAUCACAUUAACAAAGUACUCUUUCAGCGAGCAAUUUGA